AACGAACGCUGGCGGCAUGCCUAACACAUGCAAGUCGAACGAGACCUUCGGGUCUGGUGGCGCACGGGUGCGUAACGCGUGGGAAUCUGCCCUCUGAUACGGAAUAACUCAGGGAAACUUGAGCUAAUACCGUAUAAUGACUUCGGUCCAAAGAUUUAUCGCCUGAGGAUGAGCCCGCGUCGGAUUAGCUAGUUGGUGAGGUAAAAGCUCACCAAGGCGACGAUCCGUAGCUGGUCUGAGAGGAUGAUCAGCCACACUGGGACUGAGACACGGCCCAGACUCCUACGGGAGGCAGCAGUGGGGAAGUAUUGGACAAUGGGCGAAAGCCUGAUCCAGCAAUGCCGCGUGAGUGAUGAAGGCCUUAGGGUUGUAAAGCU
rnacentral:rRNA from 1 species